GCCACCACAGGCCACAGCAACCUAAGUUAGGUACAUUAUAUUUAUUGUAUAUUUGUGAUUUUUGAUAAAAACAAUAAAUAUUUGCGUAUAUUUAUCAUCAAUUAUAAAAAUACAAAAAAUAUAAUGUACCUAACUUAGGUUGCUGUGGUGGC